GCAUAACAUAAAACUUUCAAUUUCAAUCAAAGCAAGUUUGCGGAAACACAUCUUGAAAAUUCGUAUUAAACGGGAGAAAAUUACAUCCUUUUUCAAUAAUAUGAAGCGACCACGAAGAGCGGAGAUUCCUGACUCAACCAGUGUUGAGGUUCCUGGUUCAUUAUACCGAUAGGCCAACAAUCGAUACCACAACAAUUACCUGCUGUCAUCAAGAGAGAUUGAUCGCUAAGCAAGAAGCUAAACUUUGCAACAACAAAAAUAAUUGUUUUAACAAAUAAAUACAUAAAUUCAGACCAUCAGA